GGAAUAUUGGACAAUGGGCGCAAGCCUGAUCCAGCCAUGCCGCGUGCAGGAUGACGGUCCUAUGGAUUGUAAACUGCUUUUGCACAGGAAGAAACAACUCUACGUGUAGAGUCUUGACGGUACGGUGAGAAUAAGGAUCGGCUAACUCAGUGCCAGCAGCCGCGGUAAUACGGAGGAUCCAAGCGUUAUCCGGAAUCAUUGGGUUUAAAGGGUCCGUAGGCGGUCUUAUAAGUCAGUUGUGAAAUCUCCCCGCUCAACGGGGAAACGGCCAUUGAUACUGUAGGACUUGAAUUAUUAGGAAGUAACUAGAAUAUGUAGUGUAGCGGUGAAAUGCUUAGAGAUUACAUGGAAUACCAAUUGCGAAGGCAGGUUACUACUAAUGGAUUGACGCUGAUGGACGAAAGCGUGGGUAGCGAA
rnacentral:rRNA from 1 species